AGUGAACGCUGGCGGUAGGCCUAACACAUGCAAGUCGAACGGCAGCACAGUAAGAGCUUGCUCUUACGGGUGGCGAGUGGCGGACGGGUGAGGAAUACAUCGGAAUCUACUCUUUCGUGGGGGUUAACGUAGGGAAACUUACGACAAUACCGCAUACCACCUACGGGUGAAAGCAGGGGAUCGUCGGACCUUGCGUGAUUGAAUGAGCCGCUGUCGGAUUAGCUAGUUGGCGGGGUAAUGGCCCACCCAGGCGACGAUCCGUAGCCGGUGUGAGAGGAUGGUCAGCCACACUAGAACUGAGACACGGUACAGACUACUACGGGAGGGAGCAGUGGGGAAUGUUAGACAAUGGGCGGAAGCAUGGCCCAACCAUACCGAGUGGGGGAAGGAAGCCUUGGGGUUGUGAAGCCCUUCUUUUGGGAAAGAAAAGCAGCAGGUUGAGACCCCGCUGUUGUGACGGUACCCAAAGAAUAAGCACCGGCUAACUUCGUG
rnacentral:rRNA from 1 species